UGGCGGACGGGUGAGUAACGCGUGGGUAACCUGCCUUGUACAGGGGGAUAACAGUUGGAAACGGCUGCUAAUACCGCAUAAGCGCACGGCAUCGCAUGAUGCAGUGUGAAAAACUCCGGUGGUAUAAGAUGGACCCGCGUUGGAUUAGCUAGUUGGUGAGGUAACGGCCCACCAAGGCGACGACCCAUAGCCGACCUGAGAGGGUGACCGGCCACAUUGGGACUGAGACACGGCCCAA
rnacentral:rRNA from 1 species